GAUGAACGCUGGCUACAGGCUUAACACAUGCAAGUCGUGGGGAAACGGCAUUAUGUGCUUGCACAUUCUGGACGUCGACCGGCGCACGGGUGAGUAUCGCGUAUCCAACCUGCCCCUUACUUGGGGAUACCCCGUUGAAAGACGGCCUAAUACCCGAUGUGUUUCAUUGACGGCAUCCGAUAUGAAACAAAGGUUUUCCGGUAAGGGAUGGGGAUGCGUCUGAUUAGCUUGUUGGCGGGGCAACGGCCCACCAAGGCGACGAUCAGUAGGGGUUCUGAGAGGAAGGUCCCCCACAUUGGAACUGAGACACGGUCCAAACUCCUACGGGAGGCAGCAGUGAGGAAUAUUGGUCAAUGGACGCAAGUCUGAACCAGCCAAGUAGCGUGCAGGAUGACGGCCCUAUGGGUUGUAAACUGCUUUUAUGUGGGAAUAAAGUGGCGCACGUGUGCGCCAUUGCAUGUACCUCAUGAAUAAGGACCGGCUAAUUCCGUGCCAGCAGCCGCGGUAAUACGGAAGGUCCGGGCGUUAUCCGGAUUUAUUGGGUUUAAAGGGAGUGUAGGCGGUCUGUUAAGCGUGUUGUGAAAUUUAGGUGCUCAACAUUUAACUUGCAGCGCGAACUGUCAGACCUGAGUACACGCAGCGCAGGCGGAAUUCAUGGUGUAGCGGUGAAAUGCUUAGAUAUCAUGAGGAACUCCGAUCGCGAAGGCAGCCUGCGGGAGUGUUACUGACGCUUAAGCUCGAAGGUGCGGGUAUCGAACAGG
rnacentral:rRNA from 1 species